GAGACAGCCAAGUUUCAAUCGUGGUGCCAGCGGUUUCAGGAGCGGUUGUGUCAAUAUUGAUUGUAACGGUCGGGGUAGUCUUGGUGGCAGUGACAUGGAUUCGAAAAAGAAAUAAGGAUUUCAAAUAUCAAAAAGAACCCAACAUUGAGAUGGAUAGUUACUUCGAACGCACACAGAGAGAAGCCGAGACUAGUGAAGGAGACUACGAUCAGUUAGACCGACAGUACGAGAAUGUGAGGCCAUAGGUCAACAGAAAUGACUUCCCUGAACCUUUGUUGCUAUAAUGUGUUAUAUUGUAUGUAUAAAAGCCAUUUCAGUUCCGUGAAUAUGAAAGCUUAAUCAUUAGAAUAACGUUGAGGCAACAACAAAUUGAUCAUUUGUUCGUCGGAUUUGCCACACCUAAAAUUCAAAAAACGAAAAAAAAUAUUAA